AGAGUUUGAUCCUGGCUCAGAUUGAACGCUGGCGGCAUGCCUUACACGUGCAAGUCGAACGGCAGCACGGGGCAACCUGGUGGCGAGUGGCGAACGGGUGAGUAAUGCAUCGGAACGUGCCAUUGAGUGGGGGAUAACGUAGCGAAAGUUGCGCUAAUACCGCAUAUUCUGUGAGCAGGAAAGCAGGGGACCGCAAGGCCUUGCGCUCUUUGAGCGGCCGAUGUCAGAUUAGCUAGUUGGUGAGGUAACGGCUUACCAAGGCGACGAUCUGUAGCGGGUCUGAGAGGAUGAUCCGCCACACUGGAACUGAGACACGGUCCAGACUCCUACGGGAGGCAGCAGUGGGGAAUUUUGGACAAUGGGGGCAACCCUGAUCCAGCCAUGCCGCGUGAGUGAAGAAGGCCUUCGGGUUGUAAAGCUCUUUCGGCCGGGAAGAAAUCGCAUGGGCCAAUACCCUGUGUGGAUGACGGUACCGGAAUAAGAAGCACCGGCUAACUACGUGCCAGCAGCCGCGGUAAUACGUAGGGUGCGAGCGUUAAUCGGAAUUACUGGGCGUAAAGCGUGCGCAGGCGGUUUUGUAAGACAGGCGCGAAAUCCCCGGGCUCAACCUGGGAACUGCGUUUGUGACUGCAAGGCUAGAGUACGGCAGAGGGGGGUGGAAUUCCACGUGUAGCAGUGAAAUGCGUAGAGAUGUGGAGGAACACCAAUGGCGAAGGCAGCCCCCUGGGUCGAUACUGACGCUCAUGCACGAAAGCGUGGGUAGCAAACAGGAUUAGAUACCCUGGUAGUCCACGCCCUAAACUAUGUCAACUAGGUGUUGGGUGGGUAAAACCACUUAGUACCGUAGCUAACGCGUGAAGUUGACCGCCUGGGGAGUACGGCCGCAAGGUUAAAACUCAAAGGAAUUGACGGGGACCCGCACAAGCGGUGGAUGAUGUGGAUUAAUUCGAUGCAACGCGAAAAACCUUACCUACCCUUGACAUGCCAGGAACUUGCCAGAGAUGGCUUGGUGCCCGAAAGGGAGCCUGAACACAGGUGCUGCAUGGCUGUCGUCAGCUCGUGUCGUGAGAUGUUGGGUUAAGUCCCGCAACGAGCGCAACCCUUGUCGCUAAUUGCCAUCAUUAGUUGGGCACUUUAGCGAGACUGCCGGUGACAAACCGGAGGAAGGUGGGGAUGACGUCAAGUCCUCAUGGCCCUUAUGGGUAGGGCUUCACACGUCAUACAAUGGUCGGUACAAAGGGUCGCCAAGCCGCGAGGUGGAGCCAAUCCCAGAAAGCCGAUCGUAGUCCGGAUUGCAGGCUGCAACUCGCCUGCAUGAAGUCGGAAUCGCUAGUAAUCGUGGAUCAGCAUGUCACGGUGAAUACGUUCCCGGGUCUUGUACACACCGCCCGUCACACG
rnacentral:rRNA from 1 species